UACAGAGGUCCCAAGCGUUGUUCGGAUUCACUGGGCGUAAAGGGUGCGUAGGCGGUCGGGUAAGUCUGAUGUGAAAUCUCAGAGCUCAACUCUGAAACUGCAUUGGAUACUAUUCGGCUUGAGGUCUGGAGGGGGGACUGGAAUUCUCGGUGUAGCAGUGAAAUGCGUAGAUAUCAAGUGGAACACCAGUGGCGAAGGCGAGUCCCUGGACAAUUCCUGACACUGAGGCACGAAAGCUAGGGGAGCAAACAGG
rnacentral:rRNA from 1 species